UUGAAAUAAACUUGAACAGGCUGUUGCUGGUCCCUUGGGAUAUGUGCACGCUUGUCUCAUCUUUGUCAUUUCCCCCCCAACUUGUGCACAUUUUGUAGACCCUGGAGCUUUUUGAGAAAUUCAGUGUUGGGACUGCUGUGCUUUCUUGUAAAGUCGGCUUUGCCUUGCCUCAGGUCUAUGUCAUUUUUAUUCACAACCUUGUUCAGAAUGUAUCUUGAAAAUGAAACAUAUA
rnacentral:misc_RNA from 1 species